AUGAACGCUGGCGGCGUGCCUAAUACAUGCAAGUCGAGCGAACGGACGAGAAGCUUGCUUCUCUGAUGUUAGCGGCGGACGGGUGAGUAACACGUGGAUAACCUACCUAUAAGACUGGGAUAACUUCGGGAAACCGGAGCUAAUACCGGAUAAUAUUUUGAACCGCAUGGUUCAAAAGUAAAAGACGGUCUUGCUGUCACUUAUAGAUGGAUCCGCGCUGCAUUAGCUAGUUGGUAAGGUAACGGCUUACCAAGGCAACGAUGCAUAGCCGACCUGAGAGGGUGAUCGGCCACACUGGAACUGAGACACGGUCCAGACUCCGACGGGAGGCAGCAGUAGGGAAUCUUCCGCAAUGGGCGAAAGCCUGACGGAGCAACGCCGCGUGAGUGAUGAAGGUCUUCGGAUCGUAAAACUCUGUUAUUAGGGAAGAACAUAUGUGUAAGUAACUGUGCACAUCUUGACGGUACCUAAUCAGAAAGCCACGGCUAACUACG
rnacentral:rRNA from 1 species